AACGAACGCUGGCGGCAUGCCUAACACAUGCAAGUCGAACGAGACCUUCGGGUCUAGUGGCGCACGGGUGCGUAACGCGUGGGAAUCUGCCCUUCGGUUCGGAAUAACUCAGGGAAACUUGAGCUAAUACCGGAUAAUGACUUCGGUCCAAAGAUUUAUCGCCUAAGGAUGAGCCCGCGUAGGAUUAGCUAGUUGGUGAGGUAAAGGCUCACCAAGGCGACGAUCCUUAGCUGGCUGAGAGGAUGAUCAGCCACACUGGGACUGAGACACGGCCCAGACUCCUACGGGAGGCAGCAGCGGGGAAUAUUGGACAAUGGGCGAAAGCCUGAUCCAGCAAUGCCGCGUGAGUGAU
rnacentral:rRNA from 1 species